rnacentral:rRNA from 1 species
GACGAACGCUGGCGGCGUGCUUAACACAUGCAAGUCGAGCGGUAAGGCCCUUUCGGGGGUACACGAGCGGCGAACGGGUGAGUAACACGUGGGUGACCUGCCCUCAGCUCUGGGAUAAGCCUGGGAAACUGGGUCUAAUACUGGAUAUGACUCCACGGUGCAUGUCGUGGGGUGGAAAGCCUUGUGCGGCUGAGGAUGGGCCCGCGGCCUAUCAGCUUGUUGGUGGGGUGANGGCCUACCAAGGCGACGACGGGUAGCCGGCCUGAGAGGGCGACCGGCCACACUGGGACUGAGACACGGCCCAGACUCCUACGGGAGGCAGCAGUGGGGAAUAUUGCGCAAUGGGCGAAAGCCUGACGCAGCGACGCCGCGUGCGGGAUGACGGCCU